UACGGAAGGCAGCAGUGGGGAAUAUUGCACAAUGGGCGCAAGCCUGAUGCAGCCAUGCCGCGUGUAUGAAGAAGGCCUUCGGGUUGUAAAGUACUUUCAGUCGUGAGGAAGGUGUUAAGGUUAAUAACCUUAGCAAUUGACGUUAGCGACAGAAGAAGCACCGGCUAACUCCGUGCCAGCAGCCGCGGUAAUACGGAGGGUGCGAGCGUUAAUCGGAAUUACUGGGCGUAAAGGGCACGCAGGCGGUUAAUUAAGUUGGAUGUGAAAUCCCCGGGCUUAACCUGGGAAUGGCAUUCAAGACUGGUUAGCUAGAGUCUUGUAGAGGGGGUUAGAAUUCCAUGUGUAGCGGUGAAAUGCGUAGAGAUGUGGAGGAAUACCGGUGGCGAAGGCGGCCCCUGGACAAAGACUGACGCUCAUGUGCGAAAGCGUGGGGAGCAAACAGGGAUUAGAUA
rnacentral:rRNA from 1 species